rnacentral:rRNA from 1 species
AUACGUAGGGCGCGAGCGUUGUCCGGAAUUAUUGGGCGUAAAGGGCUUGUAGGCGGUUUGUCGCGUCUGCCGUGAAAUUCCCUGGCUUAACUGGGGGCGUGCGGUGGGUACGGGCAGGCUUGAGUGCGGUAGGGGAGACUGGAAUUCCUGGUGUAGCGGUGGAAUGCGCAGAUAUCAGGAGGAACACCGGUGGCGAAGGCGGGUCUCUGGGCCGUUACUGACGCUGAGGAGCGAAAGCAUGGGGAGCGAACAGGAUUAGAUACCCUGGUAGUCCAUGCUGUAAACGUUGGGCACUAGGUGUGGGGACCGUCCUUGGUUUCUGCGCCGUAGCUAACGCUUUAAGUGCCCCGCCUGGGGAGUACGGCCGCAAGGCUAAA